GCUGUCUGGGUUUCAAAGCAUCCUUUUAGUGAUGACUUUUUAUAUUAAAAUUUUCCCUGCAACACGUUCAUCGCCUCCACCGCUUCUGGCUGGGUGUUCCAUUAAAGCCCAGGAAUACUCAGUCAGACAUAGUGGAGGCUUAAAUGGGCUUGAACGUAUUCCAGGGAAAAUGAUUUUAGAAUUUUGAAUUUCAAGCCAGCAAGUAAGUCUUGGCUGGAACAACUUGGCAUAGCUAAAAACUGUACUAAUCGAAAUGGAAAAUGUUUCUCUUGGCGGUAAUCAGACACCCGAUUACCUCCUAAAGAUCGAACAUUUAAAAAACAAUAUUCGAUAAGAUAUUUUCAAUUUCUAUGCUAUGCCAAGGAGUCUGGCACAAUCCAACAUUGGCACAUUCUUGAAUCGAGAAUUGUGAUCAAAUAGUUGAUUAUUAAAGUGCCGACCACUUGUUUUAGCUUCAGUGACUUAUUUGCCUGUGGAAGAAAUUAAAUUAAUUUUAUAUCUACUUUAGUUGCUUUGAAAUCUAUUCAAGC
rfam:Drosophila ananassae strain TSC#14024-0371.13 Ctg01_19550, whole genome shotgun sequence.